rnacentral:lncRNA from 1 species
UAAACGUAAACAUUAUUUGUGGUUCAAUGACGUUGUCUUCUGGUUUCAUGGAUUCCGCACCUGGAGACUGGUCACCGUCAAGAUUUCCUGCAAACUAUGCAUGGUUAGUCCAACGCACAUUUGAUCUUCUUUUGAAGUAAUAUUAUUUUCGCUGCCAUCCUUGGGUUUACAUGAAUUAUUUUAGUGGAUAUGAAGUAUAUGGUUCUAU